GUCGUCGUGGCCGAGUGGUUAAGGCGACUACUUGAAAUCUGUUGGGCUCUGCCCGCACAGGUUCGAAUCCUGUCGGCGACG
rnacentral:tRNA from 1 species